GAGAGGUGCUUUCACACUACUGAAAGAAGUAUGUUAUGCUCUACCCAUAAGGCAUGUGAUGAAUUUUAACUUAAAAAAGACAUAAAAUUUUAAAUGCAAACUUCACUGAACAGAGAUAAAAUAUUUACUUAAGGCUUUUUCCCUUUC